ACGGUAAGGCUUUUCACUCUUCGGAGUGACGAGUACACGAGUGGCGCACGGGUGAGUAACGCGUGGGUAAUCUGCCUUCGGGUUUGGGACAACUCCGGGAAACUGGAGCUAAUACCGAAUAAGACCACGAGGUCCUUGGGCCUUGCGGAAAAAGGUGGCCUCUUCUUGAAAGCUAUCGCCUGUAGAUGAGCCCGCGUCCCAUUAGCUUGUUGGUGAGGUAAAAGCUCACCAAGGCAUCGAUGGGUAGCUGGCCUGAGAGGAUGAUCAGCCACACUGGAACUGAGACACGGUCCAGACUCCUACGGGAGGCAGCAGUCGGGAAUCUUGCACAAUGGGCGAAAGCCUGAUGCAGCAACGCCGCGUGAGGGAUGAAGGCCCUCGGGUCGUAAACCUCUGUCGGAAGGGAAGAAAGUAUUUCGGGCCAAUACCCCGGAGUAUCGACGGUACCUUCAAAGGAAGCGCCGGCUAACUCCGUGCCAGCAGCCGCGGUAAUACGGAGGGCGCGAGCGUUAUUCGGAAUCAUUGGGCGUAAAGCGCGUGUAGGCGGCUGGGUAAGUCGG
rnacentral:rRNA from 1 species